CUUCGGUGGUAUAGGAUUGGCUCGCGUGACAUUAGCUGGAUGGUGAGGUAACGGCUCACCAUGGCGAUGAUGUCUAGGGGUUCUGAGAGGAAGGCCCCCCACACUGGGACUGAGACACGGCCCAGACUCCUACGGGAGGCAGCAGUGAGGAAUAUUGGACAAUGGAUGGAAAUCUGAUCCAGCCAUGCCGCGUGCAGGAAGACGGCCCUAUGGGUUGUAAACUGCUUUUCUACGUGAGCAAUAAGGUCUACGAGUAGACUGAUGAGAGUAGCGUAGGAAUAAGCAUCGGCUAACUCCGUGCCAGCAGCCGCGGUAAUACGGAGGAUGCGAGCGUUAUCCGGAUUUAUUGGGUUUAAAGGGUGCGUAGGCGGCUUUUUAAGUCAGCGGUGAAAUUUUGCAGCUUAACUGUAACAGUGCCGUUGAUACUGAGGAGCUAGGAUUUGGUUGCUGUGGGUGGAAUGUGUGGUGUAGCGGUGAAAUGCUUAGAGAUCACACAGAAUAUCGAUUGCGAAGGCAGCUCACAAAGCCAAGAUUGACGCUGAGGCACGAAAGUGUGGGGAUCAAACAGGAUUAGAUACCCUGGUAGUCCACACUGUAAACGAUGAUAACUCGCUGUCGGCGAUACACAGUCGGUGGCCAAGCGAAAGCGAUAA
rnacentral:rRNA from 1 species